CUAGAGGCCGCUACCGACUAUUGGGCCGAGUAGGAGUACUCGGGCCAUGUCUAUACAUAUCCGAACCCAUAGGGUCACACACUUAAGGGGCUGGAAGCCCAAUUCGGAUAUGAUUCGAGUGCGCAAAGGUUACCGCCUCAUCGGGGUGUGUCUUGAACGGCCAUGGAUUACUAUAGGCACACCUCCAGCCUAUGACUGUUUGGUCCUUCAGCAGCUUCGCUAUCACUAGUGCUUUGAUCUCCUCCACCUUCAUGGUC
rnacentral:lncRNA from 1 species